AAUGAACGUUGGCGGCGUGGAUUAGGCAUGCAAGUCGAGCGAGAACCGUAGCAAUACGGGGACAGCGGCGUAAGGGAGAGGAACACGUAGGUACCUACCCCCGGAUCUGGGAUAGCCACGGGAAACUGUGGGUAAUACCAGAUGACGUCUCCGGACCAAAGGUGUGAUUACGUCCGGGGAGGGGCCUGCGUCCUAUUAGCUUGUUGGUGGGGUAAAGGCCUACCAAGGGAAUGAUGGGUACGGGGUGUGAGAGCAUGCCCCCGCUCACUGGGACUGAGACACUGCCCAGACACCUACGGGUGGCUGCAGUCGAGGAUCUUCGGCAAUGGGCGCAAGCCUGACCGAGCGACGCCGCGUGCGGGAUGAAGGCCUUCGGGUUGUAAACCGCUGUUGUAGGGGAGGAAAUGCUGUGGGGUUCUCCCCACAGUUUGACCUAUCCUAUGAGGAAGUCCGGGCUAAGUUCGUGCCAGCAGCCGCAGUAAGAC
rnacentral:rRNA from 1 species